CGGUACUCCGGAGAAUUCCAUUUUGGAUGCCGAAGGUGCAAACAGUUUUCUGUGAAUCUCUCAGGCAAAAGGACGGAGCU
rnacentral:ncRNA from 1 species